AGCGACCGGGAAAGCGGCUCUAAUACGGGGAUGGGUCCGUGGGAGCGGCUGCGCUAGUCACUGAGCAGGGAUCUGUGCUCUGGCAAAUGAAAUAAAUUAUCGGGCCAUAGAAUGGUUUGAUUCUUUAAGGACCAUCUAGGUAGAAUCGUGGAAUGAUCAGGGUUGGAAGCGACCUUCACGAUCAUCCAGUCCGACUGCCCACCCAGCACUGUCACUGUAAACCCUAAAGCACCUCACCCAGCUCCUCCCGGACACCUGCAGGGGUGGUGACUCCACCGCCUCCCUGGGAGCCUAUUCCUAAUGCCUAAGUACCUAAACAGUGAAAACAAUUUUUCUGAUCCCUAAUCUAAAAGUCUUCUGUCUCAGUUUAAAGCCAUUUCCUCUGGUCGCCUCACUGCAGGCCCAGCAGAGACCGGUCCCACCUUGCUGCAAUGAGGACAGCGAUGAAGGCCACCCAGAGCAUCCUUUUCUUGAGCCUAAAAACCCCCAGCUCCCUCAGGCAUUCCUCAGAAGAGCUCUCCAGAAACUCUCCAGCACCUCCGUGUCAUUUCUAUAGUGAAAGGGCCAGCGCUGAAUGUACCACUCGAGAUGUGGCCUCACCAGUGCUGAGAGCAGGGGAUCAUCACUUACCUGAUCCUGCUGGUCCCUGCAAAAUAGAAAUCUUAACACUUAGCCCUUCAUUGCUGAAUGAUACUAUUAUGUUGUUCUAAUUACUGUGGUGGGAGUUUUAAAGUAUUUUUGGGAGUAUUUUCUUAAACGUCUUCACAGAUCAGCUUGAUUCAGUAUAUAGACAUGGAUCUACUUCAAUUUGCACUAGUACUUCAGCUAGAUUACAGACUGCAACUAUGCACAAGCUACCUUUUAAAAGACAUGUUUAAAACAUGUGACACUUCAGUUGAACACUAAUAAAUUAUAUUUGAGAUCUUGAACUAUUUUCCAUUCUUUGUGUGGCUUGUAGAGCGCUGUCAAAUUUGCAUUGCAAAUUCAAUAUGAGUAAUUUGCUUUUGGAUGCUGACACAGAAAGGCUCAAGAGAGGAUCCAAACAAGACUGGGGCCCAUUGCACACUGCAGUACACAAACACAUGAUAAUCCUGUGGGAGGUGAAAAUCUGGCACCAGAUAUACCCUCAGCAGUGUGGAUUAGGUUACAGCCCAUCACAUCACCAUAUAUACUGUGCCAGUCUAAGAAGUGUAUUCCAAGGGAGGAUUUUCCAAAAGCACCAUGGAAGUGAAAACAUGCUCUAAGAACAUUAAAGGACAUUUCUGUGAUCGGUGCAGUGUGGUAAAACCAGGGUGCCCUUGAUGAAGGAAAUGAAUGGAAUCUGACUCUAUUGAUUCAGAAUGCUGAACAAUUGCUUUAUUGAAACUAUAUUUUAUUACAUUCUACUAUACUAUAUUAAAGAGAUACUAUACUGCAAAGAAUACUAAAGAAUACUAAAAGAUACUAAAGAAAAAACUGCAUGCUGACAGCUAGGACACAGCUUUGACCCAUAGGCUAAUUAAUAUAAACAACU